rnacentral:lncRNA from 1 species
AGUUCAAAUACUGGGCUUGGUGACCAUCUUGUGGGAUCCCGAAUGCUGUGUCCAGUGUGCCUCCCAGCCCCUGCAGACAACAACUAGGAGACGUUCAUGACUGUAGCAGGAACCAGCAGCGACACGCAGGUGCAAAGGUGAGGCGAGAGAUCGAGCUGGGACAGCCAGACCUACGGAGGCACAUGGAGAUGGGGACCAGUGCCACGAUGGGCAGCAAAAAGAAAACGAGGAGAGGUACUAUAAAAAGUGAGAGGAAGGCUUGUCUCUAAGCCAGAGGGACUCCU